CCUACGGGUGGCUGCAGUCGAGAAUUUUUCUCAAUGGGGGAAACCCUGAAGGAGCGACGCCGCGUGGGGGAUGAAUGGCUUCGGCCCGUAAACCCCUGUCAUUUGCGAUCAAACCUUACAACUUAACACGUUGUAAGCUGAUAGUAGCGGAAGAGGAAGGGACGGCUAACUCUGUGCCAGCAGCCGCGGUAAUACAGAGGUCCCAAGCGUUGUUCGGAUUCACUGGGCGUAAAGGGUGCGUAGGCGGUCGGGUAAGUCUGAUGUGAAAGCUCGGA
rnacentral:rRNA from 1 species